GAAAUACUAGGAAUGAACUCUUAAAAAAUUUUCUGGAGUAACUAAAUCACAGAGCUAAAAAAUCUUAGAGUUGGGAGAGUCUCCUGGGCUUUUCACUAAAUAGAGAAAUUUCUUCUGUAACAAGAUCAAACCAGUCUCAAACGUCUAUUUGCCUCUGACAAGAAGGAUGCCAACUGAAUAAAUUGAAAUAUAUAUAUAUGUAUAUGUCUUUUAAGUUAGAAAUUUAUUCUUAAUUUUAGUUUUUCUAGUUGAUGAGUCUCUUGUUCAAAGGCUAGAAUAUUUUCAUUAAUGCAGUUUUACAAUAACUAUUUUUGUCUAGAAUAAAUGUGUAUGUUUGGUUUCUUUUCCUGCAUUUAAAGUGGCUGCUCAUGUCAAAUACGGCCCUAGUGAGAUUUGAACCUUAAGUUUUUAAGAAAAAUGAUUCC
rnacentral:lncRNA from 1 species